GGGUGGCCCACGCAGCUCACAUGGGCAGCUUCUGCACCAACAUAGCACUUCACAGCCAGGAGCAGGGUGGCGGUGCGUGCUUCCAGA
rnacentral:lncRNA from 1 species